AACUCACAGGUAUAGAAUAUCACUCAAGGGAACUUGUACGACAUCUUGUAUCUCAACAGUCUGGAGUAUUUACGAAGAAUUCUUUUCUCGACCAUAGAAAAAAUCGUCGCACCCUGUGGCACAGUUGGUACCGCAUUUGAAUCUACCAGAAGAGACGCGCCUGCAGUUCCAGAUUAUUCCCAGUGUCGUCAGUGAUUAAGAAUCAAUGUACGUGAUGCUUGGUGAUACAGUUUGUACAGUUUGCGAUAACAAUACACAAUACGUGAUAGCGUGCACAGCCGUCACGGAAGAGAACCAUGAGAAAAGGCAGUCAAGAAAAAUGCAAGUCAGCGUCCGAAUAAACAAAGCGAACGUUCCAGUGUAUUAUUCAUGCAAUUGAUAAAAUACUAGAAUAAUUCCGAACCUUAGUAGCUGUUUGUCAACGAUAAAAUAAAGAUAACAGAUAAAAGGUUAUCACGUAGAUUUCUAUGUGAAAAUGUAAAAACAUCUGAAAAGUGACACAUACAAUAGUUUACGAAGGUUUCCGACAACGUGGCUUCUGUCAGAAUUCAAAUUUCCCGCUCGAAGAGGCUCCGAGUCAGUAAACGUUUCCAUGAAAAUUAUUUCACGAAAAGUCGAUAACGUGCGAUUGCAAUAUAUAUAUCACAAAUAAAUAAAUCUAAUUAAAAUUCGAGCACGCCUGUCCACGUGUGCCCGAAGCUUUUGAGUUGGGGGAUACUUUUGAUUGAGAGAAAAAAAUUGAUACGAAACAUAGAAUACAAACACAAUAUCGUCGAUAUCAUUUUAUUUAAUGUGGAACACACGCAUCAUCGACAUACUUAAUACGUUCUUGGUUACAGGCUGAAUGAAGACGUAAAAUGAUGGAUAAUUCAUAGCACGUGUAAUCCGCGUGUAAUUCCGGUCAUUGGCAUCCCAGCCUCCUGAACUUACGUAACCCUAAUUAAUGUAUUAUUUAUUAAUUACCGACCGAGUAACGAGAGCGCGCGACAGACUGGACUUUUCACUUGAAAUUUUUUCUUUGUCUGGUAAAUUGCUUGCGAGUCAUGAUACAGUCGAGUGUCUGUAAAAGAGAAGAGAAAAACUUUUUUCUCCGAGGUUCACAUAAAUUCCGCGCGACGCAUCGACGUCUGUAAACAUGGCUGCCUCCAGUCGUCUCGUUAGAAACUCCUGUCAGUGUAAAUAUUGAAAAGGCGUCUUGAAGAUGAGUAAGUACGGGACGCCGUGACGUCUGAGGACGUUUUGAAGUCAGCUUCGAGAAGACCUUUCGAUAUUUGUGCCGGCAGGGAAGUGUGAACUGCGAUCUAAUCGAAAUCGAUAUAUCGAAAUGUCCAACGUGAAGUUCUCGUGUAGUGAACGCUGCGAUGUCCGCGGCGUCGUUCGUUCGUUUGACAAGUCUCACAAGCCACGAAGAUACUUAAUUCCCAUAGGAUUACACAGAAUGAAGGGAAACAUCUGCGUAUCCUCAAAUUGGACAUCACAUGAUGUCCUGUUUGACAUCCUCAAUAUAUAGAAUCUAAUACAGUGCUUACCAAUUUUGUAUCGAUGGG